rnacentral:rRNA from 1 species
CCUACGGGAGGCAGCAGUGGGGAAUAUUGCACAAUGGGGGAAACCCUGAUGCAGCGACGCCGCGUGAGUGAAGAAGUAUUUCGGUACGUAAAGCUCUAUCAGCAGGGAAGUAAAUGACGGUACCUGACUAAGAAGCCCCGGCUAACUACGAGCCAGCAGCCGCGGUAAUACGUAGGGGGCCAGCGUGAUCCGGAUUUACUGGGUGUAAAGGGAGCGUAGACGGCAGCGCAAGUCUGGAGUGAAAUCCCAUGGCUUAACCAUGAAACUGCUUUGGAAACUGUGCAGCUAGAGUGCAGGAGAGGUAAGCGGAAUUCCUGGUGUAGCGGUGAAAUGCGUAGAUAUUAGGAGGAACACCAGUGGCGAAGGCAGCUUACUGGACUGUAACUGACGUUGAGGCUCGAAAGCGUGGGGAGCAAACAGGAUUAGAUACCCGAGUAGUC